rnacentral:rRNA from 1 species
GAAUAUUGGACAAUGGGGGGAACCCUGAUCCCGCCAUGCCGCGUGUGUGAAGAAGGCCUUUUGGUUGUAAAACACCUUAAGCGAGGAGGAGGCUACUCUAGUUAAUACCUAGGGAUAGUGGACGUUACUCGCCGAAUAAGCACCCGCCAACCCUGUGCCAGCCGCCGCGGUAAUACAAAGGGUGCAAGCGUUAAUCGGAUUUACUGGGCGUAAAGCGCGCGUAGGUGGCCAAUUAAGUCAAAUGUGAAAUCCCCGAGCUUAACUUGGGAAUUGCAUUCGAUACUGGUUGGCUAGAGUAUGGGAGAGGAUGGUAGAAUUCCAGGUGUAGCGGUGAAAUGCGUAGAGAUCUGGAGGAAUACCGAUGGCGAAGGCAGCCAUCUGGCCUAAUACUGACACUGAGGUGCGAAAGCAUGGGGAGCAAACA